rnacentral:rRNA from 1 species
GUCUUUUUGUGUUGGAUAUAAAGUAUAACCUGCCCAUUGAAAUUAUUUUAAAGGCUGCGGUAUAUUGACCGUACAAAGGUAGCAUAAUCAUUAGUUCUUUAAUUGAGAACUCGUAUGAAUGGUUGAAUGAGGAAUAAACUUUUUUAGAAAAAGAAUUGAAUUUUACAUUUUAAUUAAAAGGUUAAAAUGAAUUUAAAAGACGAGAAGACCCUAUAGAGUUUAAUAAUUUAUUAAAAUUUUUUAAAAAAAAUUAGUAAGUGUUUUAUUUUAAUAAAUUAUUUUAUUGGGGUGAUAGUAAAAUUUUAUAAACUUUUAUUUUUUUUUUACAUUAAUAUAUGAUUAAUUGAUCCAUUAUUAAUGAUUAAAAGUUUAAAUUACCUUAGGGAUAACAGCGUAAUUUUUUUUUUAAGUUCAUAUUAAUAAAAAAUUUUGCGACCUCGAUGUUGGAUUAAGAUUUAAUUUUAGGUGCAGAAGUUUAAAAUUAGAGUCUGUUCGACUUUUAAAUUCUU